UUUGCAGCUUAAGGAAUAGCAGCAGAUUCCACUGGCACUAAAGCAAUCCCUUUUGGAUUCUUCCAUCUGAAGAGAAAUAAUGCACCACAACCCUGAACAUGACUUCAGAGAAUUCCAGAAAACACCAACCUCUUGAAUUGAAUGCAGAGAAGGUGAUAAGUUUGUAAUGGAAGGCAGCUGCAGUCAACUCAACCACUUAGCCAGAAAAACUAGAGACAAACGAUCACCUUGAAGAAGGGAGGUUCCCUUCAAAUGAGGCUCCUGCUACCAUGUCAGAGAAGUUCUGUGGUGAGAAAAUAAAUGGUAGAUUAUAGAGUCCAGGAAAA